ACUCAUACCUUGCAGGGGAAAAACCAUGGUCAUAAAAGUGGUUUUUCCAGGGGGAGGCUCAUCCAUUGCACUUCAGGUAUGCUGAUCCCUAUGAUUUCCCCAAAUGUGGGAAACUCAACUGCAUAAUUUGUGAUAGUGGGGGAUUGCAUUUGAGCUUUCCCUGG
rnacentral:snRNA from 1 species